rnacentral:rRNA from 1 species
GAUGAACGCUGGCGGCGUGCCUAAUACAUGCAAGUCGAGCGAACAGACGAGGAGCUUGCUCCUCUGACGUUAGCGGCGGACGGGUGAGUAACACGUGGAUAACCUACCUAUAAGACUGGGAUAACUUCGGGAAACCGGAGCUAAUACCGGAUAAUAUAUUGAACCGCAUGGUUCAAUAGUGAAAGACGGUUUUGCUGUCACUGAUAGAUGUAUCCGCGCCGCAUUAGCUAGUUGGUAAGGUAACGGCUUACCAAGGCGACGAUGCGUAGCCGACCUGAGAGGGUGAUCGGCCACACUGGAACUGAGACACGGUCCAGACUCCUACGGGAGGCAGCAGUAGGGAAUCUUCCGCAAUGGGCGAAAGCCUGACGGAGCAACGCCGCGUGAGUGCUGAAGGUCUUCGGAUCGUAAAACUCUGUUAUUAGGGAAGAACAAAUGUGUAAGUAACUAUGCACGUCUUGACGGUACCUAAUCAGAAAGCCACGGCUAACUACGUG